GUGUGAAGAUGCAGCUCAACCUCAGUGAUGAGGAUCUGAGGAAGUAUGUGCAAAGUAACUGGAAUUGACAUGCAAGGGGGCCUUCUAAAACAUUAUGGAAAAUGUGAAUGAUGAAAACUGCAUGGAUUUCAAAGGACUGCUACAAACAACUGAGCUGCGCCCAGACGGAGCCUUCGUUUUCCUCUAUGUUUGCAUUCUCUCAGUGCCUAGCAAAGAGCCCAGCGCUCGGAUGGCCCUCAGUUCAUGCUGCUGGAUGAAUACACAACUGCCUGUCCAGGAAAGUCUGAAAGAGAAAAAACCACUCUACUGACUUCUUGAUUUUUAUCUCCGUUUCCUCCCCAGGACAGGUAGUGCCGAGCGUCCGAGUGUAAGAACGGCAUUGGCCUUGCUGCAGCCCUUUAGGCCCUUCCUGUCCGAGGGAACAUGACUUGAGGAUGUGCAGCUGCUGGCAGACACUUGGAAGCUGGUCUCUGGCAGGUGGGUCCUGUUGUGCUCAGAGUUCAUCAUGUUUACUUGGAAAUUUGCUUUGUUCUCGCGAGAAGGCUUGAUCUCACAGCUGACUUUAGGUAAUGCUCUUAUUUCUGUUUCCAUGGAAGAGCCAUUUGUAUUUAAUGAGACUGAAAUCACAUGUAAUGGAGGAAGGAAGAGGGAGUGGAGCAAUAUUUUCCAGAUCCACCUCAUAGUUCUCAUUCACACUUGACCUAAAUGAGUUGAGUGGUGUGUAAGUGUAUUCACACUGGUAUCUUUCCUACAUAUGUGUUCAGUUGGUUAAAAAAUAGGAAUAUUUUUGCAAUACCAUAACUUAAUAUGAAACACUGAUGGCUAGGCUUUCAAAUUUCUUGUUAAGUUUAUCUGAAAACUU